AUUGAACGCUGGCGGCAGGCCUAACACAUGCAAGUCGAGCGGAGCGGCGGACGGGCGAGUAAUGCCUAGGUAUCUGCCUGGCAGUGGGGGAUAACGUCCGGCAACGGGCGCUAACACCGCAUACUAUCAGAUGAGCCUAGGUCGGUUUAGCUAGCUGGUGGGGUAAAGGCCUACCAAGGCGACGAUCCGUAACUGGUCUGAGAGGAUGAUCAGCCACACUGGAACUGAGACACGGUCCAGACUCCUACGGGAGGCAGCAGUGGGGAAUAUUGGACAAUGGGCGAAAGCCUGAUGCAGCCAUGCCGCGUGUGUGAAGAAGGUCUUCGGAUUGUAAAGCACUUUAAGUGGGGAGGCGUUACCCGCAGAAGAAGCACCGGCUAACUUCGUGCCAGCAGCCGCGGUAAUUC
rnacentral:rRNA from 1 species